AGUACGUCACUCGUACGCCACGUGUCACGAUCACAUUCGUCCAGCUACCGAUCAACCGUCUGCCCGAAGUCAAGCAAGCCGUCUCUGAGUCAACAACCCGCGUAUUCUCCACCUUCCUGGAAACCAUUUUCUCUGAUUAAAUCCAACGGCCCAUGUUCACUCCUAGAUAUAUAUAUACAUCCAAAACCACCCUCGUUCUUCCCAUUCAUCUAUUCUCAUUUCAAUCUCCCUUCGUUUCUUCUCCUAACUUUCUUUGAUUUCUCCAUUCUUCCUUAAGAUUUUAGAAAAUGAACUCCAUGAGACUGCACGCCCUCUUCCUUGCGGUUUUCUUCUUGUUGGCAAUCUUGCAUCUGGGCCAUGGACAAGGGAUGGCCCCUUCGCCCCUUCCAAUGAGCGACGGCAAGACAAUUGAUCAAGGGAUUGCUUACAUCCUCCUACUUGUGGCCCUGGCCAUCACCUAUCUCAUCCAUUGAUUUUGCUCCACUGAGACACCACAUUCGCCAGAUUCUUUAUGCAUUUCUCUCAUCUUUGUUAGGAGGAAUUCUCACAUCUUGUAUUGAUAUUGUUCAUACCAAUAAAAUCAUCAUUUAUUCUAA